rnacentral:rRNA from 1 species
UACGUAGGGUGCAAGCGUUAAUCGGAAUUACUGGGCGUAAAGCGUGCGCAGGCGGUUAUGUAAGACAGUUGUGAAAUCCCCGGGCUCAACCUGGGAACUGCAUCUGUGACUGCAUAGCUAGAGUACGGUAGAGGGGGAUGGAAUUCCGCGUGUAGCAGUGAAAUGCGUAGAUAUGCGGAGGAACACCGAUGGCGAAGGCAAUCCCCUGGACCUGUACCGACGCUCAUGCACGAAAGCGUGGGGAGCAAACAGG